rnacentral:lncRNA from 1 species
AGUCCCAGGCUCGCCCAGGCCCGGCCGCCGGCCCGCGCGCACCUGCAGACGCUAACGGCCCCCCUCUCCGCCCUGGGGGAGCCGGGAGGAUGUGCAGCCCCAGUCCUCCUGCUCGGCGGAGCCUCGCGCGCGCAGAGCCUAGCGCGAUUCGCGCCCUCAUUACUACUACAAAGCGCGGGCCAGACCAAUCCCCUUUCUAAUGCACCAUUUUCGACUGAGAACAUCAAGAGGCCAGAAACUUCCAAGUCAGCUUGCAGACGCAGACGCCUCCUGGGGUCCUGGCUUUAAGAACCAGAUGCCAACACUCCCGGACAGUUUAUGGCAUCCGGAUCCCUCAAGGGUGCUCAUCUGCAGUUGAGAGUCUAAUAAAUGGCAUUAACAAAGCGUUUCAGCGACUACCACGGCUUCACAGUGGCUCCUCCCCUGCCCUGCCA